rnacentral:rRNA from 1 species
AGUGAACGCUGGCGGUAGGCCUAACACAUGCAAGUCGAACGGCAGCACAGUAAGAGCUUGCUCUUACGGGUGGCGAGUGGCGGACGGGUGAGGAAUACAUCGGAAUCUACUUUUUCGUGGGGGAUAACGUAGGGAAACUUACGCUAAUACCGCAUACGACCUACGGGUGAAAGCAGGGGAUCUUCGGACCUUGCGCGAUUGAAUGAGCCGAUGUCGGAUUAGCUAGUUGGCGGGGUAAAGCCCACCAAGGCGACGAUCCGUAGCUGGUCUGAGAGGAUGAUCAGCGACACUGGAACUGAGACACGGUCAAGACUCCUACGGGAGGCAGCAGUGGGGAAUAGUGGACAAUGGGCGCAAGCCUGAUCCAGCCAUACCGCGUGGGUGAAGAAGGCCUUCGGGUUGUAAAGCCCUUUUGUUGGGAAAGAAAAGCAGCAGGUUAAUACCCCGCUGUUCUGACGGUACCCAAAGAAUAAGCACCGGCUAACUUCGUG